AAACAUGUCUUUUUGAUUAAAAUUUAAAGUCUAACCUGCCCACUGAUAAUAUAUUAAAGGGCCGCGGUAUUUUGACUGUGCAAAGGUAGCAUAAUCAUUUGUCUCUUAAUUGGAGGCUGGAAUGAAUGGUUGAAUGAAAUAUUAACUGUCUCAUUUUUAAAAUUAUAAAAAUUUAGCUUUUAAGUCAAAAGGCUUAAAUGAUUUUAGAGGACGAGAAGACCCUAUAGAUCUUUAUAAUCUUAUUAAUUUUAUAAUAUAGAAAACCAAUUAGUAGAAUUAAUAAAAUUAUUUUAUUGGGGUGAUAGGAAAAUUAAAUAAACUUUUUUUAUUAAUAAACAUUUAUUUAUGAAUAAUUGAUCCAUUUUUAGUGAUUAUAAGAUUAAGUUACCUUAGGGAUAACAGCGUAAUUUUUUUAAAGAGUUCAUAUCGAUAAAAAAGAUUGCGACCUCGAUGUUGAAUUAAAGGUUAUUUCUAGAUGUAGCAGUUUAGAGUUUAGGUCUGUUCGACCUUUGAAUCUUUACAUGAUCUGA
rnacentral:rRNA from 1 species